rnacentral:rRNA from 1 species
UACGUAGGGCGCAAGCGUUAUCCGGAAUUAUUGGGCGUAAAGAGCUCGUAGGCGGUUUGUCGCGUCUGCCGUGAAAGUCCGGGGCUCAACUCCGGAUCUGCGGUGGGUACGGGCAAGACUAGAGUGAUGUAGGGGAGACUGGAAUUCCCGGUGUAGCGGUGAAAUGCGCAGAUAUCAGGAGGAACACCAGCGGCGAAGGCGGUGCUCUGGGCCGGAACUGACGCUGAGGAGCGAAAGCGUGGGGAGCGAACAGG